AUUGAACGCUGGCGGCAGGCCUAACACAUGCAAGUCGAGCGGAUGAAGGGAGCUUGCUCCUGGAUUCAGCGGCGGACGGGUGAGUAAUGCCUAGGAAUCUGCCUGGUAGUGGGGGAUAACGUCCGGAAACGGGCGCUAAUACCGCAUACGUCCUGAGGGAGAAAGUGGGGGUUCUUCGGACCUCACGCUAUCAGAUGAGCCUAGGUCGGAUUAGCUAGUUGGUGGGGUAAAGGCCUACCAAGGCGACGAUCCGUAACUGGUCUGAGAGGAUGAUCAGUCACACUGGAACUGAGACACGGUCCAGACUCCUACGGGAGGCAGCAGUGGGGAAUAUUGGACAAUGGGCGAAAGCCUGAUCCAGCCAUGCCGCGUGUGUGAAGAAGGUCUUCGGAUUGUAAAGCACUUUAAGUGGGGAGGAAGGGCAGUAAGUUAAUGCCUUGCUGUUUUGACGUUACCAACAGAAUAAGCACCGGCUAACUUCGUG
rnacentral:rRNA from 1 species